rnacentral:rRNA from 1 species
UACGUAGGGGGCGAGCGUUGUCCGAAGUUACUGGGCGUAAAGCGCGCGUAGGCGGUCUAUUAAGUCUGAGGUGAAAGGUUCAGCGCUCAACGCGAACAGUGCCUUGGAUACUGGUAGACUUGAGUGUGGCAGAGGAGUAUGGAAUUCCUGGUGUAGCGGUGAAGUGCGUAGAUAUCAGGAGGAAUACCGAUGGCGAAGGCAGUACUCUGGGCUAACACUGACGCUCAGGUGCGAAAGCUAGGGGAGCGAACAGG